GUGGGGAAUCUUGCGCAAUGGGCGAAAGCCUGAUCCAGCCAUGCCGCGUGAACGAUGAAGGCCUUCGGGUUGUAAAGUUCUUUAGCCGAUGAUUAUAAUGACUGUAGUCGGAAAAUAAGCCCCGGCUAACUUCGUGCCAGCAGCCGCGGUAAUACGAAGGGGGCGAGCGUUAUUCGGAAUCACUGGGCGUAAAGCGUGCGUAGGCGGUUUUGUAAGUUAGGAGUGAAAGCCCAGGGCUCAACCUUGGAAUUGCUCUUAAAACUGCAAGGCUCGAAUCUCGGAGAGGAUAGCGGAAUUUCCAGUGUAGCAGUGAAAUGCGUAGAUAUUGGAAGGAACACCAGUGGCGUAAGCGGCUAUCUGGACGAGUAUUGACGCUGAGGCACGAAAGCGUGGGGAUCAAACAGGAUUAGAAACCCUUGUAGUCC
rnacentral:rRNA from 1 species